CGAUACAGGGUGACAGCCCCGUACACAAAAAUGCACAUGCUGUGAGCUCGAUGAGUAGGGCGGGACACGUGGUAUCCUGUCUGAAUAUGGGGGGACCAUCCUCCAAGGCUAAAUACUCCUGACUGACCGAUAGUGAACCAGUACCGUGAGGGAAAGGCGAAAAGAACCCCGGCGAGGGGAGUGAAAAAGAACCUGAAACCGUGUACGUACAAGCAGUGGGAGCACGCUUAGGCGUGUGACUGCGUACCUUUUGUAUAAUGGGUCAGCGACUUAUAUUCUGUAGCAAGGUUAACCGAAUAGGGGAGCCGAAGGGAAACCGAGUCUUAACUGGGCGUUAAGUUGCAGGGUAUAGACCCGAAACCCGGUGAUCUAGCCAUGGGCAGGUUGAAGGUUGGGUAACACUAACUGGAGGACCGAACCGACUAAUGUUGAAAAAUUAGCGGAUGACUUGUGGCUGGGGGUGAAAGGCCAAUCAAACCGGGAGAUAGCUGGUUCUCCCCGAAAGCUAUUUAGGUAGCGCCUCGUGAAUUCAUCUCCGGGGGUAGAGCACUGUUUCGGCAAGGGGGUCAUCCCGACUUACCAACCCGAUGCAAACUGCGAAUACCGGAGAAUGUUAUCACGGGAGACACACGGCGGGUGCUAACGUCCGUCGUGAAGAGGGAAACAACCCAGACCGCCAGCUAAGGUCCCAAAGUCAUGGUUAAGUGGGAAACGAUGUGGGAAGGCCCAGACAGCCAGGAUGUUGGCUUAGAAGCAGCCAUCAUUUAAAGAAAGCGUAAUAGCUCACUGGUCGAGUCGGCCUGCGCGGAAGAUGUAACGGGGCUAAACCAUG
rnacentral:rRNA from 1 species